UUGGUAUGGCCUUCUCAUUCCUCCACACCUUCCCAUAACAUCUCUGCUGAAUCCAAGACCUGCUUGUGGAGUAGAUAAAGGAGGUUGAAGACAGGAGAGUGUCCCUCUUUUUGCUACAGACUUCGCUUAGAAGUUUUGUGCCCACUAUUUCUGCACCUGAAUUGUUGGUAUCCCAAGCUCAACAAAUCCCAAUACCAACAUCAUCUACAAAGAACACCAUAUCCUCUCCUGUAGCUUCAAAACCUGACUCUUUUAUCUUCAGUCAGUUCCAGAACUACAACUCUUAACCCUUCCUGAACACUUGUACAAAAGGGUGACACAACUGGAAUUACUCACACUGGCGCUCCCUUCCCAGCCAAAAGUGGUUAUGCUCUGUUCUCUGGGAGAAGUGGCAAAUGGAGCUGGGACAAUUAGACAGAUCCAAGGAGGACUCAGAUGAAAAUGCCCCCCUGGUCUUAAACAUUUUGGAAAAAACAGCACAGAGAGUUUCCUCAAUCAAAGCUCAGACUUCCAAACAGGAGGUACUUAUCUGCACUUGUCAAUCAAAGACAUCUGCCUUCCUAUGAUGCAUCUGCUGCAACAAAGACUUGAACGUAGGAGACAAAAGGAGGUGGAAAACAGGAAAAUGCCCUCUUUCCACUGUGGACCUCACUUGGAGCAGCUGGGACAGUCUUUUCUGUACUCAGCUUUACGGUGCUCAAGCAGAAUCUUUCCACUCUCCAACCUUCCUGGUCUUGGACAUGCCUUCCCCAUCAGAGAAAUUGAGAGAGAAAAGCUGGUCACAUGUGAAUUAGGACAGAAAUUGUCUGGAGCCUGAGUGGAGGAGAUACUGCCUGCAGCCCGAGUCCAUAGCUGAUGACCAUUUUGGAGCCUUUAUAAAAUUCCUAACCUAUGGAGAUUGCAGAGUUUCCGGCUGAGUGAGUGAAGUCAUGGGUUUAUAGGAAGACCUCAACCCCGCUGAGACAGACGUGACCACACUUGGGAUUCUUCUGGUUGUUGCCCUAAGCUGCAUCUCAACUUGCUGUUCAUUGUGUUCUGUACUGAGAAAAAUAUGAAAAUAUG